rnacentral:rRNA from 1 species
UGGUCAAGUUAUUAAGGGUGCAGGGCGGAUGCCUUGGCACUAGGAGCCGAUGAAGGACGUGAUAAGCUGCGAUAAGCUUCGGGGAGUUGCACGUAAACUUUGAUCCGAAGAUUUCCGAAUGAGGAAACUCACUUAGAGUAAUGUCUAAGUAUCAUUAAGUGAAUACAUAGCUUAAUGAGGGGAACUCAGGGAACUGAAACAUCUAAGUACCUGAAGGAAGAGAAAGAAAUUCGAUUCCGUAAGUAGCGGCGAGCGAACGCGGAUUAGCCCAAACCAAUAAAGUUUUCUUUAUUGGGGUUGCGGACAUAUCAUAACGAAGAGGUAUCGUAAUUGAAGAGGUUUGGAAAGACCCACCACAGAAGGUAAUAGUCCUGUAUGUUAAACGAGAAGACUUUAGAUAUGAUCCAGAGUACCACGGGACACGUGAAACCCUGUGGGAAGCAGGAGGGACCACCCUCCAAGGCUAAAUACUACCUAGUGACCGAUAGCGUAUAGUACCGUGAGGGAAAGGUGAAAAGAACCCCGGGAGGGGAGUGAAAUAGAACCUGAAACCCUGCACUUACAAGCUGUGGAAGCACAUUUCUUGUGUGACCGCGUACUUUUUGUAGAACGGGCCAACGAGUUACGUUAAGUAGCAAGGUUAAGCACUUAAGGUGCGGAGCCGUAGCGAAAGCGAGUUUUAACUGAGCGUUCAGUUACUUGACGUAGACCCGAAACCGGGCGACCUACCCAUGAGCAGGAUGAAGCGAAAGUAAAAUUUCGUGGAGGUCCGAACCCACGAGCGUUGAAAAGCUCGGGGAUGACUUGUGGGUAGCGGUGAAAUUCCAAUCGAGCCCGGAGAUAGCUGGUUCUCCCCGAAAUAGCUUUAGGGCUAGCCUCAAGGUGAGAGAUACGGAGGUAGAGCACUGAAUGUCCUAGGGGGUAUUGCACCUACCGAAGACUAUCAAACUCCGAAUGCCGUCAUCUUAUACUUGGGAGUCAGACUGUGGGUGAUAAGAUUCAUAGUCGAAAGGGCAACAGCCCAGAUCGUCAGCUAAGGUCCCUAAAUGUAAGUUAAGUGGUAAAGGAUGUGGGAUUGCACAGACAACCAGGAUGUUGGCUUAGAAGCAGCCACUCAUUCAAAGAGUGCGUAAUAGCUCACUGGUCGAGUGAUCCUGCGCCGAAGAUUUCCGGGGCUAAAACUUACUACCGAAGCUACGGCAUCAGUAAUGAUGGGUAGGGGAGCUUCCCAUACGGGUUGAAGCAUGACCGUAAGGACAUGUGGACAGUAUGGGAGUGAGAAUGUUGGCAUGAGUAGCGAGAUGUGGGUGAGAAUCCCACAGGCCGUAAACCCAAGGUUUCCAGGGGAAGGUUCGUCCGCCCUGGGUUAGUCGGGACCUAAGCUGAGGCCGAAAGGCGUAGGUGAUGGACAACAGGUUGAUAUUCCUGUACUACCGAUAACCGUUUGAGAGAAGGGAUGACACAGUAGGAUAAGCUAAGCACACUGUUGGUUAUGUGUGCCCAAGCAUUGAGGCAGUCAAAGUAGGCAAAUCCGCUUUGAUAAUGCUGGGAUGUGAUGGGGAGCGAAAUUUAGUAGCGAAGUAGCUGAUUUCACACUGUCAAGAAAAGUCUCUAUCGAGGUUAAAGGUACCCGUACCGCAAACCGACACAGGUGGGUGAGGAGAGUAUCCUAAGGCCAGCGAGAGAACUGUUGUUAAGGAACUCGGCAAAAUGACCCCGUAACUUAGGGAUAAGGGGUGCCACCAUCAGGUGGCCGCAGAGAAUAGGCCCAAGCGACUGUUUACCAAAAACAUAGGUUUCUGCUAAGUCGCAAGACGAUGUAUAGGAGCUGACGCCUGCCCGGUGCUGGAAGGUUAAGGGGAUCUGUUAGAGCAAUCGAAGCAGUGAACUUAAGCCCCAGUAAACGGCGGCCGUAACUAUAACGGUCCUAAGGUAGCGAAAUUCCUUGUCGGGUAAGUUCCGACCCGCACGAAAGGCGUAACGAUUUGGGCACUGUCUCAACAACAGACUCGGUGAAAUUGUAAUUCCGGUGAAGAUGCCGGAUACCUGCGACAGGACGGAAAGACCCCAUGGAGCUUUACUGUAGCUUGACAUUGGGUCUUGGUACUACAUGUACAGGAUAGGUGGGAGGCUUUGAAACCAGGACGCCAGUUUUGGCGGAGCCAUCCUUGGGAUACCACCCUUGUAGUACUGGGACUCUAACCAUAGGCCAUGAAUCUGGUCUUGGGACACUGUCAGGUGGGCAGUUUGACUGGGGCGGUCGCCUCCCAAAAGGUAACGGAGGCGCUCAAAGGUUCUCUCAGUACGGUCGGAAAUCGUACGUAGAGUGUAAAGGCAAAAGAGAGCUUGAUUGCAAGACAUACAGGUCGAGCAAGGAUGAAAAUCGGACUUAGUGAUCCGGUGGUUCUGCGUGGAAGGGCCAUCGCUCAACGGAUAAAAGCUACCCUGGGGAUAACAGGCUUAUCUCCCCCAAGAGUCCACAUCGACGGGGAGGUUUGGCACCUCGAUGUCGGCUCAUCACAUCCUGGGGCUGUAGUAGGUCCCAAGGGUUGGGCUGUUCGCCCAUUAAAGUGGUACGCGAGCUGGGUUCAGAACGUCGUGAGACAGUUCGGUCCCUAUCCGUCGCAGGCGUAGGAAAUUUGAGAAGACCUGUCCUUAGUACGAGAGGACCGGGAUGGACGUACCUCUGGUGUACCAGUGUCCUGCCAAGGGCAUUGGCUGGGUAGCUAUGGUACGGAAUGGACUAGCGCUGAAAGCAUCUAAGCGCGAAGCCAACUUCAAGAUAAGAUUUCCCACCGCAAGGGUAAGACCCCAGAAAGACUAAUCUGGUUGAUAGGUCGAAGGUGUUAAGUGCAGCAAUUGUACUUAGCUUAUCGAUACUAAUAGGUCGAGGACUUGACCAAUU